rnacentral:rRNA from 1 species
UACGGGGGGGGCAAGCGUUGUUCGGAAUUACUGGGCGUAAAGGGCUCGUAGGCGGCCCUCUCAGUCGGAUGUGAAAUCCCCAGGCUUAACCUGGGAACGGCAUCCGAUACUGGAGGGCUUGAAUUCGGGAGAGGGAUGCAGAAUUCCAGGUGUAGCGGUGAAAUGCGUAGAUAUCUGGAGGAACACCGGUGGCGAAGGCGGCAUCCUGGACCAAUUCUGACGCUGAGGAGCGAAAGCCAGGGGAGCAAACGGG